rnacentral:lncRNA from 13 species
GGAAUUUCUGACUUGCCACAUAGAAGGGGCACAUUUAAGUCCUGUGCUGUGGAAGUUGAAGUUUGCUGCAUUAUAAAUGAACAAGGUGCAA